CCUACGGGUGGCAGCAGUGAGGAAUAUUGGUCAAUGGGCGGAAGCCUGAACCAGCCAAGUAGCGUGCGGGAUGAAGGCCCUACGGGUCGUAAACCGCUUUUGCACGGGGAUAACACCCUCCACUUGUGGAGGUCUGCAGGUACCGCGCGAAUAAGGGCCGGCUAAUUCCGUGCCAGCAGCCGCGGUAAUACGGAAGGCCCGAGCGUUAUCCGGAUUUAUUGGGCUUAAAGGGAGCGUAGGCGGGUGUUAAAGUUUGCUGUAAAAUCGCGCGGCUCAACCGUGCCCCGCAGUUGAAACUGGACGCCUUGAGUUCGCAAAAGGCAGGCGGAAUUCGUGGUGUAGCGGUGAAAUGCAUAGAUAUCACGAAGAACCCCGAUUGCGAAGGCAGCCUGCCGGGGUGCGACUGACGCUGAGGCUCGAAGGUGCGGGUAUCGAACAGGAUUAGAUACCCGAGUAGUC
rnacentral:rRNA from 1 species